GAUGAACGCUGGCGGCGUGCCUAAUACAUGCAAGUCGAGCGAACAGAUGAGGAGCUUGCUCCUCUGACGUUAGCGGCGGACGGGUGAGUAACACGUGGAUAACCUACCUAUAAGACUGGGAUAACUUCGGGAAACCGGAGCUAAUACCGGAUAAUAUAUUGAACCGCAUGGUUCAAUAGUGAAAAACGGUUUUGCUGUCACUUAUAGAUGGAUCCGCGCCGCAUUAGCUAGUUGGUAAGGUAACGGCUUACCAAGGCAACGAUGCGUAGCCGACCUGAGAGGGUGAUCGGCCACACCGGAACUGAGACACGGUCCAGACUCCUACGGGAGGCAGCAGUAGGGAAUCUUCCGCAAUGGGCGAAAGCCUGACGGAGCAACGCCGCGUGAGUGAUGAAGGUCUUCGGAUCGUAAAACUCUGUUAUUAGGGAAGAACAAAUGUGUAAGUAACUAUGCACGUCUUGACGGUACCUAAUCAGAAAGCCACGGCUAACUACGUG
rnacentral:rRNA from 1 species